UCGGAGCGCACGCACGUGCAAUAACGUCAUAGUGGAUUUUCACCAAAAGAGGUGUUCAGAGGGUUGCGGACAUCAGCUAAAAUAAACGGACAGUUGAUGCUAGCAGCUGACUAGGAAGCGCGCUCCUACAUAUCGGAGCUAAUUCACAAUAAUGAACUCAAGAAAAAAAUACACAAAAGAAGAUCUUCAAAAUGCUAUCAUGGCAGUUAAUAAUGGCAGUACCGUUUAUAAAGUUUCUCGAUAUUAUAAUGUUCCAGAAACGACAUUGAGAGAUAAACGUGAUAAAAAAUAUUGCAGUAACCUUGCCGGCAGAAAACCGAUACUCUCCAAAUCUGAAGAAACAAAGAUUGUUGACUGGAUCCAUUAUUUAGGAAAACAUGGUUUCCCAGUUUCCAAGGAACUAUUGAAGGAAGAAGUAGCGAAGCUAGUAGAAAAUUUAAACAGACCAAACACAUUUAAAGAUGGCGUUCCUGGUAAAUACUGGAUUUCCAAUUUCUUAUCAAGACAUCCAACUGUUGCCAAGAAAGUAGUAGCACAAACAUUGCCCACUAAUUGUAAUAUAGUGACUAAAAAA